AGGCUAUGACGUGAGCACUUCCUCAAUAGGUGCUUAAAUCUCUCCCAAGCUUCAUACAAACUCUCUUGAUCCUGGUGGGCAAAAGUUAUUAUCUCAUUUCGAAGCUU
rfam:Jatropha curcas cultivar GZQX0401 scaffold596_16, whole genome shotgun sequence.